ACUCAGGACGUGAUCAGACAACCAGUAGAGUGAUCUACGUCAGAAACCUUCCCAAAGGCUUCUAUACAGAGAAGGACUUCCUGAAGAUUGUUAAAGGCUUUGGGAGAGUGCACUGCUAUUAUCUCCAUCGCAAUGGUGUAGAGGGCUUCAUUGAGAUGGAGAGUUCUUCUGAUGCGACAAAGGCUUUAAGAGAGCUGCGUUACUAUGGCUAUAAAUUAUACGGACCAGUACGUGGUGGCCACGCGGUCUGAUAAAUACAGAAGACUAACAACAGGGUUGAAACCUGAAUCAGACUCUGAUUCUGAAAGUGAUCUGAAGAAAGAUCACAGGAUACUAGAGCAGCAGGAUCAGGAUAAGGAGAUGGGUUCAUCAGUCACUCAAAGUCAGCAGCUAAGGACGAGGAGACGAAGAGGAGACGAGGAGACGAAAGAGGAGGACGAGGAGACGAAAGAGGAGACGAGAGACGA